rnacentral:rRNA from 1 species
UACGGAGGGUGCGAGCGUUAAUCGGAAUUACUGGGCGUAAAGAGUGCGUAGGUGGUUGAAUAAGUUAUUUGUGAAAUCCCUGGGCUUAACCUGGGCAGGUCAGAUGAUACUGUUUGACUCGAGUAUGGGAGAGGGUAGUGGAAUUUCCGGUGUAGCGGUGAAAUGCGUAGAGAUCGGAAGGAACACCAGUGGCGAAGGCGGCUACCUGGCCUAAUACUGACACUGAGGCACGAAAGCGUGGGGAGCAAACAGG